rnacentral:rRNA from 1 species
UAGUCCACGCCGUAAACGAUGGUCACUAGCUGUGUGGAUUUCGGUCUGCGUGGCUAAGCGAAAGUGAUAAGUGACCCACCUGGGGAGUACGUUCGCAAGAAUGAAACUCAAAGGAAUUGACGGGGGCCCGCACAAGCGGUGGAGCAUGUGGUUUAAUUCGAUGAUACGCGAGGAACCUUACCAGGGCUUAAAUGUAAGUUGCAUUAGCUAGAGAUAGCUAUUUCUUCGGACUACUUACAAGGUGCUGCAUGGUUGUCGUCAGCUCGUGCCGUGAGGUGUCAGGUUAAGUCCUAUAACGAGCGCAACCCCUGUUGUUAGUUGCCAGCGAGUAAUGUCGGGAACUCUAGCAAGACUGCCGGUGCAAACCGUGAGGAAGGUGGGGAUGACGUCAAAUCAUCACGGCCCUUACGUCCUGGGCCACACGUGCUACAAUGGUCGUGACAAAGAGUUGCUAGUCUGCGAAGGCAAGCCAAUCUCAUAAACGCGGCCUUAGUUCGGAUUGC